ensembl:lncRNA
AGCUAACGUAUCUAUCUAGCUAACAAGAGAUGCUCCUCAAUAGAGUAAUCUAUCGAAUAGGAUGACCUUGUGUGAUUGACGUAUCAAUAUCGAAAUUGUGGUAAAUAUGGAAGCAAUGAGCAGAAAACGAACACGUGAAGUCACUCGACUCGAGCAGCGGGAGCGAGCAACAGCACACCGUUGACCUCCUCACCAAACCUAGAGUGUGUUAAGAAGGUAACCGUUCCCAGCUGUGCACCCUCCCUUUGUGCAGACCAUGCACGAUACGAGGGCACUGGGUGAGGAACACCAAAGGAGUUAUAUUGAGAUGUGGCCGCCCUGGAAGCUUUCAAGAAUGGGAAGUCCAUGAAAGCGGCAUUUGAUGCUGUUGGGGUGGAUCGCAACACGGUGGCUGUUGUGGCUGUGCAUUAACAUUUCAUGCCUCACAUAAUUAAUAACUUGUCUACAGCACGUUUGUUGUUUGCUGUUUGCUGUUUUUUUUUCUCACACCCUAUCAAUGCUCUGCGCAAUGUUCAGCAAGUGCUGAAUUACAAAUAAAA